rnacentral:rRNA from 1 species
UACGGAGGGAGCUAGCGUUGUUCGGAAUUACUGGGCGUAAAGCGCGCGUAGGCGGUUACUCAAGUCAGAGGUGAAAGCCCGGAGCUCAACUCCGGAACUGCCUUUGAAACUAGGUGACUAGAAUCUUGGAGAGGCGAGUGGAAUUCCGAGUGUAGAGGUGAAAUUCGUAGAUAUUCGGAAGAACAUCAGUGGCGAAGGCGGCCAUCUGGGACAACACUGACGCUGAAGCACGAAAGCGUGGGGAGCAAACAGG